AAAACCGCGGCGGCGCUCCUGGGGCGGGACCUGCGGCGGCGGCCGGACGGGUGCUUAGGCGGCUGCUCCGACGACCUUUACGCGAGAGACGGAUGACCUGGUCUGACAGGAUUGCUUCACCAAGAAGUUUCCGAAAGUUGCAAAAUUUGGAGACCCCUUCCCUGCCCCCCAGUUUCCGGACUUUGGUACUGCUGCCCCACCAGGUCAAAUUUUGGGUGGCCGAAGCCUCCUUCGCCUGCCUGGCGCCUCUCCGUGCCCGGGCACGGCUGUCCCACAGCAGCAGGCACACACAUGAUGCUGCCUCUUUGCUGUACCGAUUGUUGUUGUUGUUAUUAUUAUUUUUUUUCCAGAUCCAUUCCCCGUGUGGAACAGAAGCCAAAUACACAGAAAAAGUAUUGAGGAGUCUUUCUCUUAGUAAGAGUCUGUUCAUAUUUCUUUGCUGAGCUCCACAAGAACAUAAAUUUCAGCAGCAUUCAGUAACAACGUGGAAGAAAAUCUACACGGCUGAAGAUUCCUUUGGCUGAUGUUACUGAAGGUUACCCAAAGCCCUGCUUCCACCUCUGCUUCCACCUGGUUUGAUAGGUUUGAGCAGAACUCUUUCUAAGAAAUCACUUCCAUAUCUACAAGGAAAAGCUUUCAGAAUAUGUUUUCUUGGAAAUAAACAAUGUCUACUAGC